CUUGUGUUUCAGGGAGGAAGACUGAAGGGACAUGGCGGCAAUCAACCUUAAUUUAUUUAGGUAUCGUGAACGCUCAUGUUCAAGCAAGAUCGCAAAAUAAUUAAUUA